rnacentral:misc_RNA from 1 species
GAAUGCACUCAAAGUCUUACACAUGGAAAAAGUGCACUUUCCUUCCCUGCCUUCAUCACUUUGUUUUAUGGAAAGCCUUCGAACUUUAUGUCUUGAUCGAUGUGUGCUGGUAGAUGUAGCCAUAGUUGGACAACUGAAGAAAUUAGUCAUUCUUAGCUUUGCUGGAUCCGAUAUUGCACAGUUGCCAAAGGAGUUUAAGCAACUGACUCGUCUAAAGGCGUUGGAUUUGAGCAAUUGCACGAAACUCAAAGUCAUACCACCCAAUGUCCUCUCAAGCAUGUUCCAAUUAGAGGAGCUACAUAUGGCAAAUAGCUUUGUUG